AGUGAACGCUGGCGGUAGGCCUAACACAUGCAAGUCGAACGGCAGCACAGUAAGAGCUUGCUCUUACGGGUGGCGAGUGGCGGACGGGUGAGGAAUACAUCGGAAUCUACUUUUUCGUGGGGGAUAACGUAGGGAAACUUACGCUAAUACCGCAUACGACCUACGGGUGAAAGCAGGGGAGCUUCGGACCUUGCGCGAUUGAAUGAGCCGAUGUCGGAUUAGCUAGUUGGCGGGGUAAAGGCCCACCAAGGCGACGAUCCGUAGCUGGUCUGAGAGGAUGAUCAGCCACACUGGAACUGAGACACGGUCCAGACUCCUACGGGAGGCAGGAGUGGGGAAUAUUGGACAAUGGGCGCAAGCCUGAUCCAGCCAUACCGCGUGGGUGAAGAAGGCCUUCGGGUUGUAAAGCACUUUUGUUGGGAAAGAAAAGCAGCAGGUUAAUACCCCGCUGUUCUGACGGUACCCAAAGAAUAAGCACCGGCUAACUUCGU
rnacentral:rRNA from 1 species